AUUGAACGCUGGCGGCAUGCCUGACACAUGCAAGUCGAACGGCAGCACGGGUGCUUGCACCUGGUGGCGAGUGGCGAACGGGUGAGUAAUACAUCGGAACGUACCUUAUCGUGGGGGAUAACGCAGCGAAAGUUGCGCUAAUACCGAAUAAGCCCUGAGGGGGAAAGCGGGGGACCGUAAGGCCUCGCGCGUACAGAGCGGACGAUGUCUGAUCAGCUUGUUGGUGAGGUAGAAGCUCACCAAGGCGAUGAUCAGUAGCUGGUCUGAGAGGACGAUCAGCCACACUGUGACUGAUACACGGCCCAGACUCCUACGGGAGGCAGCAGUGGGGAAUUUUGGACAAUGGGGGCAACCCUGAUCCAGCAAUGCCGCGUGAGUGAAGAAGGCCUUCGGGUUGUAAAGCUCUUUUGUCAGGGAAGAAACAGCAGCUCUAACACAGUCUGCGAAUGACGGUACCUGAAGAAUAAGCACCGGCUAACUACGUGCCAGCAGCCGCGGUAA
rnacentral:rRNA from 1 species